rnacentral:piRNA from 1 species
GACGAUCCUAAUCUUGGGUGGGU